rnacentral:lncRNA from 1 species
GGGAGGAUGACCAGAGGUGGGGAUGGAGCGAUGACCACUUUACUGGUUAAAGCUCAGGAAGACUAUGAAACUUGGCCAUUCAGAGUUCCUGAAGCCAGGUCCUUCCAGACUCAAACAGGAAAAGAGAUUUAGGUACAACAAUAACAACAACAACAACAACAAAAGAGAUUCAGGAACAAACAAACAAACAACUCAGCUGCAGGCUUUGUGUUUCAGAAUGUGAAAGUGACUUCUUCUGGCCCCCACCUAUUGUGGCAACACCUUUCCUUUCAGAUCUUGGCUUGAUAGGCUCUUCCCAGAACCUGAGCUUGCACUUCCCCUGCCGCCUUGCAAACAGCUCCCAGACUACUCGCCUGCUUUUCCUGAGGAGCCAGAAAACCUACCCAACCUUGACCGCCUGGAAUGAAUGAAUCAUCAGUCUGUGACUGCGGCCCUUAAUCCCUUCCAGCCUUGGGGUUACUCCUACGUCUUUCAACCUAGUGACCCUACAGUAACUUUCCUGCGCUGGUCCCAGCAGCCAAGUGACUUACGUGACUGCAUUUAAUCCUCUCCAUUUGAAAGGACAGGAAGUGAAGGUCUGACUUCUGUGGAAAGGGAGGCCUGAGGGACCUGGUUUCCAGCUAUGUCUCUACCAUACAGAGUUGUGAAAGAAGGUAGAAUGCACCUACACCAGUCAAGAGGGGAAAGGAGGG